UACAGAGGUCCCGAGCGUUGUUCGGAUUCACUGGGCGUAAAGGGUGCGUAGGUGGCGAGGAAAGUCGGAUGUGAAAGCUCGGAGCUCAACUCCGAAAUGGCAUUGGAAACUACCUUGCUCGAGGGUUGGAGGGGGGACUGGAAUUCUCGGUGUAGCAGUGAAAUGCGUAGAUAUCGAGAGGAACACCAGUGGCGAAGGCGGGUCUCUGGACAGUUCCUGACGCUGAGGCACGAAGGUCAGGGGAGCAAACGGG
rnacentral:rRNA from 1 species